UUAAAAAUAGGCGAUGGAGUUCGCCAUAAUCGCGUAAUGCUAAUGACUCCUACAAAUAA
ncrna:Clostridium sporogenes ATCC 15579 Fluoride riboswitch